GACCUCUCCUUGACCAAGCUGAGCUGCAGUCCGAAUGCCAGGGCUGCAUGCUUCUUUCCUGCUUACAGUUUAGUGAAUAAUCAGGGAUCCAGUAUUUCACUGACCCACUCCAGGUUGCCAGAGUUCCGUUUGAAGGUGUCUCCAUGGUUGCACACACCAGAGGACGGGGACUCUGUGUCUAGAAGGCUGAGGCGAGGGCUCCGUUGUGGGGCAGACUGUUCGCAGUCUUAUCUGUCUGAGUAUUCCUGGGUAUGACUGUGUGUGGCAAAAGCUCGUGUCACCCAAGUAGUCUUCAACUUCUGUAGUUUGUAAAUGAGUGUUGUGGAGGGAAC
rnacentral:lncRNA from 1 species